UCUAAAGUGGCAGAAAGAAUGCUUAGGGUUUAAGCCUCUACUAGGAAGUUUUAUCUUCCUUUAGAA
rnacentral:tRNA from 2 species